rnacentral:lncRNA from 1 species
UUCUGUUCACAGUCUGAAUAAACUCAUUCCGUAGACAAAGGUCAGACACAUAAGUCCUAUUCGUUUCGUAACUUUUCAAAAAAAUACUUUUGGCAGCCGGAAAACAUAAAUUUCAAUAGGUAAAUAGUCUUAGCUAUGUUAACCAAUCGAAAUUAACCUUUAAUUUACGCUCCACACACAGUAACCAUGCAGCCAUCCAACUCUGAUGCUAACACCGAGAAAAUCUCUUCCUGCAGCAGCAAAUCCCCACUGGAGGCGGCUGGCAAGCCUGGGAAGUGCCCGUGCCCUGGUGGCCAAGACGGAUGCAUCUGCUCCAAUGGCAUUUGCAUGAAGGACAAGUGCCCGGAUGGCGUCUGCCAGAGGAACCAUCAGGAAGCACCGCCUUCUCUCUAAUCAGGCAUAGAGUAGACCCUUGAAACAGAUUCAGACCUAAAACAGAAUGGAGAUACAAAUAAAAUGCACCUUUUAAAUACACAAAAUAUUUGCGCUUUAAGGAUCAACUUGCAGCGGUGCAAAACCACAACAAAAAAAGCAAUUAUGUCGCCACGACACGACACGACACGAAGUGACCUCUACUUGCCAGCAGAACAUGGUGCGGCACGUGUACAUAACUGGAAAAUUUUUGAACAGACAGCGUUGGGUGCGUGUUGAAAAAUUGCACUUUUGAUUUAUGCGC